UACGGAAGGCAGCAGUGGGGAAUAUUGCACAAUGGGCGAAAGCCUGAUGCAGCUAUGCCGCGUGUAUGAAGAAGGCCUUAGGGUUGUAAAGUACUUUCAUCGGGGAGGAAAAAACAAAACUAAUAAUUUUAUUUCUUGACGUUACCCGAAAAAGAAGCACCGGCUAACUCCGUGCCAGCAGCCGCGGUAAUACGGAGGGUGCUAGCGUUAAUCAGAAUUACUGGGCGUAAAGAGCACGUAGGUGGUUUUUUUAAAAUCAGAUGUGAAAUCCCUGGGCUUAACCUAGGAACUGCAUUUUGAAACUGAAAUACUAGAGUAUCGUAGAGGGAGGUAGAAUUCUAGGUGUAGCGGUGAAAUGCGUAGAUAUCUGGAGGAAUACCUGUGGCGAAAGCGGCCUCCUAAACGAAUACUGACACUGAGGUGCGAAAGCGUGGGGAGCAAACAGGGAUUAGAUACC
rnacentral:rRNA from 1 species